rnacentral:rRNA from 1 species
UAGGGAAUCUUCCGCAAUGGACGAAAGUCUGACGGAGCAACGCCGCGUGAGUGAUGAAGGCUUUCGGGUCGUAAAACUCUGUUGUUAGGGAAGAACAAGUGCUAGUUGAAUAAGCUUGGCACCUUGACGGUACCUAACCAGAAAGCCACGGCUAACUACGUG